ACUUAUAACUUAGUAGAAGAAAAUAAAAUUAUAAAACUAAGAAAAUAUAUGAUCUUAUUCCAUUUGAACUCAUAUUACACACAACACCGCUAAAGGUCAAAACAGGAAAUUCAGUUAAAUAAGGAAUAAACCCUCUGUAUAAAAACAGAGCUUCAUCUCCUAAUUAGGGUUUGGGGCAAACAAAAUUACUCAGACGAUAAAUGAGGCGGUAGAGGGAAGGGAUGUUUCGUAAGGGUGGUUGCCCCCCUCCGCCGCUAAUGAUUUUCCGUUUUGCUCCCAAAAUCAACACCCUCUUUUGGCAUUAACAUUAUGCAUAUAUCGUCACCAAAAAAAAAAAAAAAAAAAAAACACGUCGAUGAAUCGAUGGGUUGAUAGAUCGCUUCUUUUUCUUCUUCUUCUUCAUCUUCAACCAUCAAACAGCUGUGCAAUAUCCAUCGAAUUGGAAAAUCUCAUAACCCAUCCCAGUUGGGGUGUUUGGCUGUGAGAUUUCUAACCCGAUAAUCACAGGACCAUUUAUGUAAUUUUGUCUUUAUUUUAUACAAACAAAGCGUGUGUUUGCGAUUGCUUUUUAAGACAACUCAUGUUUUGUUUGUUUUUCAUAAAAGUGCUUAAUGGGGGCGUUGAUGAUGUAUUCUAAGUGUCUGAGUUAAUCAGGCAAAGUUGAGAUUUACUGCAACUUGGCGGGGCAUUUUCCGGCGGUUUCUGUAUUUGAUUCAGCCGUGAUGUAUGUAUGCAGCCAUGGCGGUUUAAUCCUCUUUGUUCUGAUACGUAUAUACAGAUCUGAGCCUCAUUCUUUAUUAAAUUAAAUUUUAAAUCUUUCAAUCGAUUUUGUUAACCCUAAUUUUUUUGGUCGUUUUAUUUUUCAGUAGUUAAUUUGGUACAUAUUUGCCAUUUGUUUAGUUUUCCUUAGAAAAACAUAAUUUAUUGCUUAAAACCUUUGAAAUGUUGUGAUAACCAAUCCAACGAUAAGAGUUUUUUAGGUAUAUUUUUGAUGUAUUUCUGUAAUAGUAUCUACUUUUGUUGCCACUUGUGUUUUAGAGGUUUACAUUCACAAGUCAUUAAAAGACAUCUCUGUGUGGUAAUUGGAUUUUAGGGUGUUUGAGAGUAGUAAUUAAAUUGUAAAUUUUAUAUAACUUAUGAGUGAUUAAAUUCAUAAAAGAGAAGGUAUUGUCUUUUAUUGAGCAAAUGCAAAUUGAAUAGGUAUACUUCAUACAAAGGAACAAAAUUGAAAAUUGUAUAAAUAACAAAAAUUACAAAAAAAAAAACGUUGUUUAUGUUAAUUUUGAUUGCUAUCUUUGAUUUUUGAUGAAACCUUCCAAGUUCAUUGCCAUGUGGGAUAAUUAAAGUUACUGGUUUGGUGAUAGUUUUGAUAAUUUGUAAAUAGUUUAUUGCUAUUUUGGUGAAGAUCCAUAGUUCAUUGCAUACUGGAUUGGAUGUUCUUUACAUUUGAAGAAGCCAUCGAAGUUCAUUGCCAUAUUGGAGCAGAUUGUGAAUUAUAAUAGAAGAUUACAAUGCUAUUUGCAUUGUUGCAUAUAAAGUCCCCAAAAUUUGGAGCAUUUGGUUAGGUUAUGUAUUCAGUUCUUGUGUCUCAUGUUAUUAUGUAAUACAAUUUGUAAUCGGCUAACUUCCUCCUGGUUUUAGUUUUGUAAUUAAAAUUUAUGCCGUUAUAGAAAAAGAUUACUUAAAUAUCUCUAUUCUUAAUCUCUUCUCUAUCCUUAAUAAAAGACUUUCUAAAUUGCCACAUGUCACCAUUUUACACCAUCUUCUUGCUACGUGUCAUUACCACACCUCUGUUUAGCUUGCUUUUACUGUCUAUUCAAUGCAAUCAAUACUCGACAUCAUCCACUCCUAUUAAUCGGCAAAUCAGUUUUAAUACUCCCAUUUCCUGUGCCUCCCCCACCUUCUUUUUCUGCCGUUUUUAAAGUUCUCGGCAUAAAAGCAGGGAUAUACCUAAAUCUAUUUCUAUCUACAUCUUAAGAAAUCAACAACCAAAGCCUAUCCAAAAUUGAAUCUACCACUUUUAAUUGAUUACAAAUACAAACAAUUUGUUAGAUGUUGAUUUCAAUUUUGUAGAUUUAUGUUUUUUGAUUUUUUUUUUUUAAAUUCUGUUUUUGAAACCUCCCAUCUCAAUCGACCUUCUUUCUCCAUAGGUCAAAAAUUUAUAGCUAUCUGUGAGAGGUUAGUUAUGUUUCUGUCGAGCAGACAAAGAUUUAUCUAGAUUGAUAUGGGUGAAAAGGAAAACCUUAAUUGUUGUUGGGGAAAUCAUUUGGAUUUUUGCAUAUAGAGUUCAUUUCACACUCUUCUUUGUCUUAUUUCUUGCUUCUUUUUGUUUACAGAGCUCAAUCCAGAAGUUUUCAUCCACGGGUAAGGUAGUCUGAUCACAGUUUUCAUGUUAAUAACUAUUUUUCGUCUUCUAUCCUUCUAUUAACAUAGUUCUAAUUUUUAUUAAAACUGUUUUGAGUAGAAAUUCAUUUGAAACUUUUAAUCGUUUGUUGAAAUCAAAGCCCUUUUUUCUCAAUAAAAUAUCUUUGGUCUAGUGUGUAGUGCCUCUUCUAUAGAACAUCAGCAGAAAAGGUAUGUGUAUUUGGUUUCGAGUUUUUGCUUGAUAAAGAGCAGUUGCCUGAUCAAUUGUUAAGAGCAGUUGCCUAAUCAAUUGUUAAGGGUUACAGUGGGUAUGUUGUUGAACAUGGUGAAAAAGGUAUGUGUAUUUGGUAGUUUUUAUGGAUUAUAAUUAUGAUUUUAAAGCAAUCAAAUAUACAUAUUUUAAAUUGGUUUUGAAACUCCAGUUAUAUAUUAGUGACAAAUUGAGCUUAUGAUAAUAGUUAAUCAACACUUAUGCUAUUUAUAUGAUCGAGAAUACUGGUUGGAGUCGAGUCAAAAGACAAUCCGACUAGGGUUCUAUGAAGGCAUGAUUCUGGCUGGAAAUGGUUGAGCAAAGAUGAUGAAUAAGAACAAACAAGGUUAGAUGUGUUUGAUUUGUCAACAAGACUAUUGAUCUUAAAAACUUGGUUUGUCGAAGGCCGGGUUAAAGCAGUCUAAAAAAGCGUGUCUUUCUUAUGAUCAUUUUCUGAGUACAAUGUUUCUCUAUGUAGGUUCAAUAAUGCUCUAAACAUUUUUUUGAAUAUCAAGGAAAACGUGUCCAAUAAAUGCAAAUGAUGCGGAAGAAAUGAAAGUACACUGCUAUAAACCGAUA